CGUGGGUAACCUGCCUUAUAGUGGGGGAGUAGCCUUCGAAAGAAGAUUAAUACCGCAUAAGAUUGUAGUAUCGCAUGAUAUAGCAAUUAAAGGAGCAAUUCGCUAUAAGAUGGACCCGCGUCGCAUUAGCUAGUUGGUGAGGUAAUGGCUCACCAAGGCGACGAUGCGUAGCCGACCUGAGAGGGUGAUCGGCCACAUUGGGACUGAGACACGGCCCAGACUCCUACGGGAGGCAGCAUG
rnacentral:rRNA from 1 species